rnacentral:rRNA from 1 species
UACGGGGGGGGCAAGCGUUGUUCGGAAUUACUGGGCGUAAAGGGCUCGUAGGCGGCCAACUAAGUCAGACGUGAAAUCCCUCGGCUUAACCGGGGAACUGCGUCUGAUACUGGUUGGCUUGAAUCCGGGAGAGGGAUGUGGAAUUCCAGGUGUAGCGGUGAAAUGCGUAGAUAUCUGGAGGAACACCGGUGGCGAAGGCGGCUCUCUGGACCACUACUGACGCUGAGGCGCGAAAGCUAGGGGAGCAAACAGG